rnacentral:rRNA from 1 species
AUUGAACGCUGGCGGCAUGCCUUACACAUGCAAGUCGAACGGUAACAGGUCUUCGGAUGCUGACGAGUGGCGAACGGGUGAGUAAUACAUCGGAACGUGCCCGAUCGUGGGGGAUAACGCAGCGAAAGCUGUGCUAAUACCGCAUACGAUCUACGGAUGAAAGCGGGGGAUCGCAAGACCUCGCGCGGACGGAGCGGCCGAUGGCAGAUUAGGUAGUUGGUGGGAUAAAAGCUUACCAAGCCGACGAUCUGUAGCUGGUCUGAGAGGACGACCAGCCACACUGGGACUGAGACACGGCCCAGACUCCUACGGGAGGCAGCAGUGGGGAAUUUUGGACAAUGGGCGCAAGCCUGAUCCAGCCAUGCCGCGUGCAGGAUGAAGGCCUUCGGGUUGUAAACUGCUUUUGUACGGUAACGAAAAGACUCUCUCUAAUACAGGGGUGAAGUGACGGUACCGUAAGAAUAAGCACCGCUAACUACGUGCCAGCACG